GGACUACCCGGGUUUCUAAUCCUGUUUGCUCCCCAUGCUUUCGAGCCUCAGCGUCAAUAUGUGUCCAGUCAGCCGCCUUCGCAACUGGUGUUCUUGGGGAUCUCUACGCAUUCCACCGCUACACCCCCAAUUCCACUGACCUCUCCACUAUUCAAGAUUCCCAGUUUUAAGUGCCUGUCCGGGGUUGGGCCCCGGGAUUAAACACCUAACUUAGAAACCCGCCUACGCUCCCUUUACGCCCAGUGAUUCCGAACAACAUUAGCCCCCCUCGUAUUACCGCGGCUGCUGGCAC
rnacentral:rRNA from 1 species